CCCUUAGAUGUUCUGGGCCGCACGCGCGCUACACUGACGAAUGCAACGAGCUUAUAACCUUGGCCGAAAGGUCUGGGUAAUCUCCAAAUUUCGUCGUGAUGGGGAUAGAUUAUUGCAAUUAUUAAUCUUCAACGAGGAAUGCCUAGUAAGCGCAAGUCAUCAGCUUGCGUUGAUUACGUCCCUGCCCUUUGUACACACCGCCCGUCGCUCCUACCGAUUGAAUGGUCCGGUGAAUAAUUCGGACUGAUGCAAUAUUCAGCUCCUGGACGUUGCGUUGGAAAGUUUAGUGAACCUUAUCACUUAGAGGAAGGAGAAGUCGUAACA
rnacentral:rRNA from 1 species